UGGGGAAUAUUGGACAAUGGGCGCAAGCCUGAUCCAGCCAUGCCGCGUGAGUGACGAAGGCCUUAGGGUUGUAAAGCUCUUUUGGCGGGGAAGAUAAUGACGGUACCCGCAGAAUAAGCUCCGGCUAACUUCGUGCCAGCAGCCGCGGUAAUACGAAGGGAGCUAGCGUUGUUCGGAAUCACUGGGCGUAAAGCGCACGUAGGUGGGCAGUUAAGUCAGGGGUGAAAGCCCGAGGCUCAACCUCGGAAUUGCCUCUGAUACUGGCUGUCUAGAGUCCGAGAGAGGUGGGUGGAAUUCCUAGUGUAGAGGUGAAAUUCGUAGAUAUUAGGAAGAACACCGGUGGCGAAGGCGGCCCACUGGCUCGGUACUAACACUGAGGUGCGAAAGCGUGGGGAGCAAACAGGAUUAGAUACCCACGUAGUCCCUGAGCGGGCUGGCAAGGCGCAU
rnacentral:rRNA from 1 species